AAGUCGUAACAAGGUCUCCGUAGGUGAACCUGCGGAGGGAUCAUUACUGAGUUAGGGAUCAAUCCCGACCUCCAACCCUUUGUGAACACAUCUUGUUGCUUUGGGGGCGACCCUGCCGCUCGCGGCAUUCCCCCCAGAGAUCAUCAAAACACUGCAUUCUUACGUCGGAGUAAAAAGUUAAUUUAAUAAAACUUUCAACAACGGAUCUCUUGGUUCUG
rnacentral:misc_RNA from 1 species